AACAAACGCUGGCGGCGUGCCUAACACAUGCAAGUCGUACGAGAAAGGGUCCUUCGGGACCUGAGUAAAGUGGCGCACGGAUGAGUAACGCGUGGAUAAUCUGCCCUUCAGUUGGGAAUAACUCAUCGAAAGGUGGGCUAAUACCGAAUGAUACUGCGAGACUUUGGUCGAGCAGUCAAAGAGAGCCUCUGCUUGCAAGCCUUCGCUGAAGGAUGAGUCCGCGUACCAUUAGCUAGUUGGUAGGGUAAUGGCCUACCAAGGCGACGAUGGUUAGCUGGUCUGAGAGGAUGAUCAGCCACACUGGAACUGAGACACGGUCCAGACUCCUACGGGAGGCAGCAGUGAGGAAUCUUGCGCAAUGGGGGAAACCCUGACGCAGCAACGCCGCGUGAGUGAGGAAGGUCUUCGGAUCGUAAAGCUCUGUCAGAUGGGAAGAACCGCAUGGGGAUGAACAGUCCCCAUGUCUGACGGUACCAUCAGAGGAAGCACCGGCUAACUCCGUGCCAGCAGCCGCGGUAAAAC
rnacentral:rRNA from 1 species